AUUGAUGUUAUGUGUGAUCAAUAAAAACUUGUGCUUCUCAUCCAAUCUUUGUAGAACUAUGUUUAUGUGUGAUUGUGCACUUGUUGGGCCCUUUUGUUGUGCACCUGCACUUGUAGAACUAUUUUGUUGUGCACUUGUUGGGCCUUGAACCUUUAUGUGUAGAGGAGUCAAUGGAUGAUAUAUUGUAAUUCAUGUGAUGUGCUACUGAAAUGAAAUAUAUAUA
rnacentral:lncRNA from 1 species